UGCUUUAACGUGUUCCUGCUUGUGGUUCAUACUGCAGAACGAAAUUACAGCUUUAACUACUCUCAGGUCCAAAGAAGUUUUACGUGGGUGGGCUCCCUUCAACUUUAACAUGGAAGUGCUUUCUGUGACUUUAAAAGAUCUGGACCUACCUCAAUUGCUUUUGCUGCUUGUUCUUUUGUUUCAAAUUCUACAAAUGCAAAUCCUUUUGGAUCUCCAGUAGACUUAUAAUGUGGUAUACUUAUAUAAACCACAUUGCCACAUUUCCCAAAGACCCUUUCAAUCCAACUGUGAUUAACAUUUUUGGGAAGUAACUCCUAGGAUAAAUUAGAAGCAACAUUAGUUUUUCACAAUCCUUAUUUUCAGAAUGUCAAUAAAUUUUCAUUUUAACUAU